rnacentral:lncRNA from 1 species
AUUGUUUUAAUCCUUAAAAUUCUUUUUUUCCAAAUAUUUCAGUGUUUUAAACUUUUUCAAAAUUUUGUGCAUUUUAAAUGUUUUAAAUUUAUUUUUAUUUUUCUCAGUUUUUUUGUUUUUCUCUUUCUUUUAAAAUCUUUUUGAUAAUGAGAAAGGGGAGAAAAUGCAUGGAAUAUUUAAGAAAAGAUUAAAACAUCACAACUUGAAUAAAG